UCCGAAGUUUGGAUUGGCUCACCUGAUGGCCCUGGGGUUGGGUCCGUGGUUGGCGGUGGAGAUUCCAGACCUGAUCUCUAAAGGACUGAUCACACACAGAGAGCAGCAGGGAAGCUGAGACCCCCCUUCCCUCUUUGGGAACAUGUUUACUGGUGUGGUCCCAGUGAAGGUGAUGCUGCUGUUUGUUCUGAGAACCAGAAAACAGACUAAUGACGUGGCUUCCGACAUGUGACCACUCACUCUUCUGUUGCUUUAGAAGGCAAUGUUCCUGCGUUCACAUUCAAGUUAAACUCUGCAGUUGUCGGCUCAAUCAGAAAUGACCUUUUAAAUGUCGCACUAUAACACCACGUUGGAUUGAAUCUCAGCCUAGAUUCCACUAGAAAAUAGGAUAACACCAUGUUGGAUUGAUAGAUUCCACUAGAAAAUGGGUGUUUUACGAUAUUUAGUCACAUGGCUGAGAAGCAAACUUCAGUGUUUGAGUUGACAGAAUGUUGCUCCUGUGUCUCUUGUAAUAAAACAUGUCUGAUACCUGU